ensembl:lncRNA LINC01525 long intergenic non-protein coding RNA 1525
AGAGUUCUGUUGGAACUCUAGGAAGAAAGCCAUUCUCUGAAACCUUUCUGGGGCUGGAGCACUUGUCAAGAGUAAACAGAAAAGGAAUAAAGCUUGCCUCUUUUUUUGAAAAACCCAGCUGGACAAUGGGCAUAUUCAAUGGCCAAGGCCUCCUCUAAUUGCUGGCUUGGGAAGAACUGGAGAUAACUCAGCAAUGGAGAGACAAGGAGGGCUCCUAGGGAACAACUUGGAGACCGAGGAAUCUUGCUGAAUGCCAGCAGAAAAUCUGGAAGCAGAGCCAGUAUAAUUCAGCAUUACUGAGCCCACUGAGCUCUCCAGGGAAGUAUAAAUUGAGCACAGAAGCUCUGAAAUGGAUUGUAACCACAACAUCAGAGGUAUUCUCAAAAGAUCCAUUCUCUUGGAAAAAAGUUUGCCAAGUGGAGCUGGAUCCACAGCUGCCACUCAAGGCCUGUUUUCCGCAGAGCGCUGUUAAAGAGAUUUUACCUGCUUCAUAACCCAUCCAGUUGUGUAAAGCAGAGGGUGUGAGGGCAGCCACUGCAGGGGUUAUAAGACCCUCAUUCCAGAGUGGUACUGCCCUGCGUCUGGGAAGAAGGAAGGCCACACAGAGAGACCAAGAAGAAUCCUAACAGACAGGGCUUGCUUGGUUUCCCCCUCAGUCUCUUACCGUUAGAUCAGACCUCUUUGGUCCUACCACGUUUCUACAUGGCUGUCCAUUCUUCAUCGAAUCUAAGAAUAAAAAUGGAUAGUUUUCCCU